rnacentral:rRNA from 1 species
AUUGAACGCUGGCGGAAUGCUUUACACAUGCAAGUCGAACGGCAGCACGGGGGCAGCCCUGGUGGCGAGUGGCGAACGGGUGAGUAAUACAUCGGAACGUGCCCGGUCGUGGGGGAUAACGUAGCGAAAGUUACGCUAAUACCGCAUACGAUCUGAGGAUGAAAGCGGGGGACCUUCGGGCCUCGCGCGAUCGGAGCGGCCGAUGUCAGAUUAGGUAGUUGGUGGGGUAAAGGCCUACCAAGCCGACGAUCUGUAGCUGGUCUGAGAGGACGACCAGCCACACUGGGACUGAGACACGGCCCAGACUCCUACGGGAGGCAGCAGUGGGGAAUUUUGGACAAUGGGCGCAAGCCUGAUCCAGCCAUUCCGCGUGCAGGACGAAGGCCUUCGGGUUGUAAACUGCUUUUGUACGGAACGAAAAGGCUCUGGCUAAUACCUGCGGCUCAUCACGGUACCGUAAGAAUAAGCACCGGCUAACUACGUG